rnacentral:rRNA from 1 species
AUUGAACGCUGGCGGCAGGCUUAACACAUGCAAGUCGAGCGAGCGGCGGACGGGUGAGUAAUGUCUGGGAAACUGCCUGAUGGAGGGGGAUAACUACUGGAAACGGUUGCUGAUACCGCAUACCAUCAGAUGUGCCCAGGUGGGAUUAGCUAGUAGGUGGGGUAAUGGCUCACCUAGGCGACGAUCCCUAGCUGGUCUGAGAGGAUGACCAGCCACACGGGAACUGAGACACGGUCCAGACUCCUACGGGAGGCAGCAGUGGGGAAUAUUGGACAAUGGGCGAAAGCCUGAUGCAGCCAUGCCGCGUGUAUGAAGAAGGCCUUCGGGUUGUAAAGUACUUUCAGUCGGGAGGCGUUACCAACAGAAGAAGCACCGGCUAACUCCGUGCCAGCAGCCGCGGUAAUAC